AGUGAACGCUGGCGGUAGGCCUAACACAUGCAAGUCGAACGGCAGCACAGUAAGAGCUUGCUCUUACGGGUGGCGAGUGGCGGACGGGUGAGGAAUACAUCGGAAUCUACUUUUUCGUGGGGGAUAACGUAGGGAAACUUACGCUAAUACCGCAUACGACCUACGGGUGAAAGCAGGGGAUCUUCGGACCUUGCGCGAAUGAAUGAGCCGAUGUCGGAUUAGAUAGUUGGCGGGGUAAAGGCCCACCAAGGCGACGAUCCGUAGCUGGUCUGAGAGGAUGAUCAGCCACACUGGAACUGAGACACAGUCCAGACUCCUGCGGGAGGCAGCAGUGGCGAAUAUUGGACAAUGGGCGCAAGCCUAACCCAGCCAUACCCCGUGGCUGAAGAAGCCCUUCGGUUUGUAAAGCCCUUUUGUUGAUAAAGCAAAGCAGCAGGUUAAUACCCCGCUGUUCUGACGGUACCCAAAGAAUAAGCACCGGCUAACUUCGUG
rnacentral:rRNA from 1 species